rnacentral:rRNA from 1 species
UGAGUUUGAUCCUGGCUCAGGGUGAACGCUUGUGGUAAGCCUUAUACAUGCGAGUUGAACGUAUUUUUACGUAGCGAACGGGUGAGUAAUGCAAAGGUUAUUUGCUUUUAGAUUCGGAAUAAAAUACCGAUGUAAAAGAAUCAGAUCGUCUAAAAAUAAGCUUUUGUAGAAUUAGGUAGUUGGUAAGGUAAAGGCUUACCAAGCCGACGAUUCUUAGCUGGUCCGAGAGGAUGAUCAGCCACACUGGAACUGAGACAAGGUCCAGGCUUUUUUAUAAAGCCAGCAGUAGGGGAUAUUGGACAAUGAGCUAGCGCUUGAUCCAGCUAUACCACAUGAGUGAUUAAGGCUCUUUGGCUGUAAAACUCGAUAUUUUGGGAAGAGAAUGACAAUACCAAAAGAAAAGUCCCGGCUAACUUCGUGCCAGCAGUCGCGGUAAUACGGAGGGGGCGAGCGUUAUCUGGAAUAAUUGGGCGUAAAGGGUUCGUAGGCUGUAUUUUGCUGUUGAAUGUUAAAAAUCAGAGCUUAACUUUGAAAAUGCAUUCAAAACGUUUAUACUUGAGUACGAAAUAGGACAAUGGAAUUUUACAAGGAGGGGUGAAAUCCGUAGAACUGUAAAGGAAUGUCAAAAGCGAAGGCAGUUGUCUGGGUCGUUACUGACGCUAAGGAACGAAAGCGUGGGUAUCCAACAGGAUUAGAUACCCUGGUAGUCCACGCCGUAAAUUAUGAGUGCUCAUGCUUAGAUUUUUUAGGCAUUUAGUUAACACGUUAAGCACUCCGCCUGAAGAGUAUAAUCGCAAGAUUGAAACUCAAAGGAAUUGACGGGGGCCAACACAAGUGGUGGAGCAUGUUGUUUAAUGCGAAAAUACGCGCGAAACCUUACCAGUUCUUGACAGUGUGUUAAGUGACGAAAAAAUAGCUUUUUUUGUCCUCUUUAUAGUAAGAAUUUUCACACACAGGUGUUGCAUGGCUGUCGUCAGCUCGUGUUGUGAAAU